GCCAGGGUGGUGUAGUGGUUACUAUAUCUACCUUGUGAGCAGGAGACCCGGGUUCGAAUCCCGGCCUUGGUA